CUCGAUUCGUCGCCGACCGAAGCUUUGAAUACAUUGAAAUUCAAAUUGGUAGAGAAAGGAUCAUUAUGUUCAAUGUAGCCCUCUUCCAAUAUACAUCACUGAUUUCAAACUUGUAUAGAUCUAUGGAGUCUUGCCAUUCGCAGACUACCAUUCCAUCAAAUCAAUUUGAGCUUUUAUCCAAUUAUUUGCACUCUUAUUUGUUUCAAUUCAAUAAAUGUUUUGCAUGUUUUAAUUGAUAAAAUGUCAUUGUUUUAAACAAAUAAAAAAAUUUC
rnacentral:lncRNA from 1 species